AAAUCAAACUCCUCUCAUUUUCUUCAAGCUUUGGACCUUCACUUCACCUCUUGAAAGAAUUUAGGAGCAUAAGGAUUUUUUGAAGUUAAAGGGAUUGCAGCGGAUCGAGGUACAGAUGAAUCUACUGAGGAGCUGAGUAUUCCUGAGAAGGGAGGGGCCGAUGUUUAGUAGUCCUUUGGUAGUUUGGUUUCUUUUUAUGAAAAUAUAUGUUUCUUAUGUUUUAAUACUGGAUCCCACACGGGGAUGUUUUAUUGAGUUAACUUCUAGACAAGAUACAUUCGGGUAUAAAGUAUAUAGUGGGGUA